GACGAACCGUGCGAACGUUGUUCGGAAUAACUGGGCUUAAAGGGCGCGUAGGCGGGCUGACAAGUCUGGGGUGAAAUCCCGCGGCUCAACCGUGGAACUGCCUUAGAUACUGUCGGCCUCGAGAGAGGUAGGGGCGUGCGGAACUGUAGGUGGAGCGGUGAAAUGCGUUGAUAUCUACAGGAACUCCGGUGGCGAAAGCGGCGCGCUGGACCUCUUCUGACGCUGAGGCGCGAAAGCUAGGGGAGCAAACGGG
rnacentral:rRNA from 1 species